UACGAGAGGUCCAAGCGUUAUCCGGAUUUAUUGGGCGUAAAGGGUGCGUAGGAGGUUGUGUUAGUCUUUUGUUAAAGGUCCCGGCUUAACCGGGAAGAUGCGGAAGAAACGGCACAACUUGGAGGAUGCCAGAGGCAAGCGGAACUCACGGUGUAGGGGUGAAAUCCGUUGAUAUCGUGGGGAACACCAAAGGCGAAGGCAGCUUGCUGGGGCAGUCCUGACUCUGAGGCACGAAAGCGUGGGGAUCAAAAAGG
rnacentral:rRNA from 1 species